GACGAACGCUGGCGGCGUGCUUAACACAUGCAAGUCGAACGGAAAGGCCCUGCUUGCAUGGUGCUCGAGUUGCGAACUGGUGAGUAACACGUUGGUGAUCUGCCCCUUACUUUUUGAUAAGCCUGGGAAACUGGGUCUAAUACUGGAUAGUACCAUUCUUUAUGUGUUGUGGUGGUUAGAUUAUUUUCGGUUAGGGAUGAGCGCGCGGCCUUUCAGCUUGUUGGUGGGGUAAUGGCCUACCAAGGCGUCGACGGGUAGCCGGCCAGAGAGGGUGGACGUCAACAUUGGGACUGAGAUACGGCGCAGAAGACUACGGGAGGCAGCAGUGGGGAAGAAUGGAAAAUGGGGGGAAGACGGAUGAAGCGAAGAAGCGUGGGGGAUGAAGGCCUUCGGGUUGUAAAAAACAUAAAGAAAUGAAGAAGAACAUGUGGUGACGGUAGUGGGAGAAGAAGCACCGGCUAACUACGUG
rnacentral:rRNA from 1 species